ensembl:misc_RNA Metazoa_SRP Metazoan signal recognition particle RNA
GCCAGGCGCGGUGGUGCAGGCCUGUAGUCCCACCUACUCGGGAGGCUGAGGCAGGAGGAACACUUGAGCCCAGGAGUUCUGAGUCGUAGUGCCUGCACUAUGUUAGUCGGCUGUCCACACGAAGUUAGCAUCAAUAUGGUGACCUCCUGGGAGCAGGAUGCCACCAGACUGCCUAAGGACUAGUGCACUGGCCCAAGUCAGAAAUGGACCUAUGUACUACAUUUUGAGUAAGCCUACAUUUAAAAGGCCUAUUCCUGGUUAAAAAAGAAUUAACA